rfam:Schistosoma haematobium scaffold1969_2, whole genome shotgun sequence.
AGACUCCUGUAUCCGUGCUGAAAUUUCGUCAAACAUCAGACCGCACAAUCUGAUUAGACUCCCAAGAUAAGUGAAGCG